AUACGGAGGGUGCAAGCGUUGUUCGGAAUCACUGGGCGUAAAGGGCGCGCAGGCGGUUUGGUAAGUCAGAUGUGAAAGCCCAUGGCUCAACCAUGGAAGUGCGUUUGAAACUGUCAGACUUGAGUACUAGAGGGGAAAGUGGAAUUCCCGGUGUAGAGGUGAAAUUCGUAGAUAUCGGGAGGAAUACCGGUGGCGAAGGCGACUUUCUGGCUAGAUACUGACGCUGAGGCGCGAAAGCGUGGGGAGCAAACAGGAUUAGAAACCCUAGUAGUCC
rnacentral:rRNA from 1 species